rnacentral:rRNA from 1 species
GUGAGGAAUAUUGGACAAUGGGAGCAAUCCUGAUCCAGCCAUGCCGCGUGCAGGAAGACAGUCCUAUGGAUUGUAAACUGCUUUUAUACAGGAAGAAAAAAUCUGACUUGUCAGAUAUUGACGGUACUGUAUGAAUAAGAAUCGGCUAACUCCGUGCCAGCAGCCGCGGUAAUACGGAGGAUUCGAGCGUUAUCCGGAAUCAUUGGGUUUAAAGGGUUCGUAGGCGGGACAAUAAGUCAGUGGUGAAAGUUUGUGGCUCAACCAUAAAAUUGCCAUUGAUACUGUUGUUCUUGAGUUAUUGUGAAGUGGUUAGAAUGUGUAGUGUAGCGGUGAAAUGCAUAGAUAUUACACAGAACACCAAUUGCGAAGGCAUAUCACUAACAAUAUACUGACGCUGAUGAACGAAAGCGUAGGUAGCCAACAGGAUUAGAUACCCUGGUAGUCUACGCUGUAAACUAUGGUUACUAGCUGUUCGGAGCACAUUAGUGCACUGAGUGGUUAAGCGAAAGUGAUAAGUAACCCACCUGGGGAGUACGUUUGCAAGAAUGAAACUCAAAGGAAUUGACGGGGGCCGCACAAGCGGUGGAGCAUGUGGUUUAAUUCGAUGAUACGCGAGGAACCUUACCAAGGCUUAAAUGCAUAUUGACAGUUCACGAAAGUGAAUUUUCUUCGGACAAUUUACAAGGUGCUGCAUGGUUGUCGUCAGCUCGUGCCGUGAGGUGUCAGGUUAAGUCCUAUAACGAGCGCAACCCCUGUGGUUAGUUACCAGCAUGUAAAGAUGGGGACUCUAGCCAGACUGCCGGUGCAAACCGUGAGGAAGGUGGGGAUGACGUCAAAUCAUCACGGCCCUUACGCCUUGGGCUACACACGUGCUACAAUGGUAUAUACAAUGAGCAGCCAUCUGGUGACAGAGCGCUAAUCUAAAAAGUAUAUCACAGUUCGAAUCGGAGUCUGCAACUCGACUCUGUGAAGCUGGAAUCGCUAGUAAUCGCACAUCAGCCAUGGUGCGGUGAAUACGUUCCCGGGCCU